CGCCUACAACCCGACAAGAUACUGUGGGGCAUGGCAUCAAAUCGCAGUGCAUAUAAAUCCCGUUAUCAGGGCAUGCACUGCGUUAUGUGGGGAAACCCACAUAUUGCGACCGAAAGGUUGC
rnacentral:sRNA from 1 species